CAGGUCAGUGUUCGCUACGUUAUUGAACCGAGUCAACAGUGAUUAUUUUCAUGAGUUUAUCUUUGAUCCCCCCUAAUUUCUGCACCUGAAGACCCAGAAGUCUGUUUCCUAGAGAAAUACUAUUAUUUGUAACUAAGGAGAAUUACUGAACUAAAACAAAGAGAAAAACAUUUACUUUUGAAUUUCAGUUUCACAACAAUUAAAACUUUAAUUUUUAAAAUAGGUUAAAGCUUUCACAAAUUUGAGACCGUUUCUUUAAGGAGUCCAGGUUUUACAACUUUGUGUUUUAGUCUAUUUAAUUUCAAGCAGAAAUGGCUCUUUAAUCAAACUACAGACCUGUUGAAAGUAAUUCAGCAUAGUCUAAGGAGAGAUGUAGGAAAAAUUACCUGGAAAAAAAAUAAAUAAAAAAAUCUGAUUUUUGCAGUAUUAAAUGGCGUACACUUGUAGUCUUUAUACAGCCACAUGAGGGCAGUCAAGUAAAAGUUUGUAGAGAAAGGCUCUUUGGUCCUUCCUUUAUUGUCUCUUGUGAGAGGAUAUGCAGCUUUGAUGUUUUCACAGCACAAAAAAAAGAAAAAAUAGAUGAAGCUGCAACAAAAGCAUUUUCCAGUUGAGCCCAGCUCAACAUCAGCAUGUUUUUCACAAAACGUCUAUCAGGACAUUGCAGUUGAAAGUAAACAUCACAGGUGGCAGUUCUGGAUUGGCUGUAGCACAUUCAGAAAAAAAAACAAAACAACUCCUAUAUGGCAGCACUCAUCUCAAAGAAUAACACUCUUUAUGUAGGAGUCUAAAGUUGCAAGGUGAAGCUAGAAUUUUAAACCAACACAAUCUGAAAAACCUCGCUUCUUAGAGAGAAGAGAUGGGUUUUAACUUUAACUCCUGACAUGUGAAACCUUUUUCUGCUCUGACCUCGCUUUAUUUUUCCUCCUCUGGGUUCAAAGGGUUCUGUGUGCGCCACGCCUGAAGCCUCAACUCUAAGAGAGUCAGCAUACAUCAAUCAAAGACGUUUCUGUCUUGUGUGGCGAUGAGCCGGGACUCCCCGUGAUGCAACGUGAAGAAGGAUUCUGGUUUCAGUCCCCUCUGCUCCAGUGCCUCUCUGAGACGGACCGGGGGCUCCAGGUAGUACUGCAUGGAGGAGAGACGAGGUAAGAAAGCUAGAAAAUAGUCUUGGCUCAGAGGUGAGGAAAUUCAAGAAGAAUGGGUCUAUGUCGUCCCAGAACGCAAUCUCCUCCUCACGGUGAAUUGUUUGUCUAUAUGAUGAAGAAAUAUUGGAAAAAAAAAAGAGUGUGCUUGGUGUGAAUGAAUGUGAAAUGAUUUUAAAUGUGGAUUUUUCCCUGCAAAGUGAAUUAGAAGCAGAGGAAAACAAAUAAGGAAUGAAAAUGCUGAACAUAAAUAUUUAGUGGACAAAUUACUGGCCUUAAUAUUUAAAACAAAAUUUUUUUGUUUGUUUUUUUUCUCUCUUUGAACAAAAAUGAUUGUAUUUCUUAAAAGUAUCAAUCAAUAAACUUAUUUAUAAGGGACCCUUUCUUACUAAAUGCAUACUGGAUGGAGAUUAAAUGACUAAAACUAUAUGAUCAUGCAAAAGGUUAAAAUAAGAUUCAUAAAUACAUACUGUAUGUAUAG